rnacentral:rRNA from 1 species
AACGAACGCUGGCGGCAUGCCUAACACAUGCAAGUCGAACGAAACCUUCGGGUCUAGUGGCGCACGGGUGCGUCACGCGUGGGAACCUGCCCUUAGGUUCGGCAUAACUCCCCGAAAGGGGUGCUAAUACCGGAUAAUGUCUUCGGACCAAAGAUUUAUCGCCUUUGGAUGGGCCCGCGUUGGAUUAGCUAGUUGGUAGGGUAAAAGCCUACCAAGGCGACGAUCCAUAGCUGGUCUGAGAGGAUGAUCAGCCACACUGGGACUGAGACACGGCCCAGACUCCUACGGGAGGCAGCAGUGGGGAAUAUUGGACAAUGGGCGAAAGCAUGAUCCAGCAAUGCCGCGUGAGUGAUGAAGGCCGUAGGGUUGUAAAGCGCUUUUAACCGGGAUGAUAAUGACAGUACCGGGAGAAUAAGCCCCGGCUAACUACGUG